rnacentral:rRNA from 1 species
GAUGAACGCUGGCGGCGUGCCUAAUACAUGCAAGUCGAGCGAACGGACGAGAAGCUUGCUUCUCUGCUGUUAGCGGCGGACGGGCGAGUAACAAGUAGAUCACCUACUUAUAAGACUGGGAUAACUUCGGGAAACCGGAGCUAAUAACGGAUGAUAUUUUGUACCGCUUGGUUCAAAAGUGCAUGACGGUCUUGCCGUCUCUUUUAGAUGGAUUCGGGCUGCCUUAGCUAGUUGGUAAGGUAACGGCUUACCAAGGCAACGAUGCAUAGCCGAGCUGAGAGGGUGAUCGGCCACACUGGAACUGAGACACGGUCCAGACUCCUACGGGAGGCAGCAGUAGGGAAUCUUCCGCAAUGGGCGAAAGCCUGACGGAGCAACGCCGCGUGAGUGAUGAAGGUCUUCGGAUCGUAAAACUCUGUUAUUAGGGAAGAACAUAUGUGUAAGUAACUGUGCACGUCUUGACGGUACCUAAUCAGAAAGCCACGGCUAACUACGUG